rnacentral:rRNA from 1 species
AGAGUUUGAUCCUGGCUCAGAUUGAACGCUGGCGGCAUGCCUUACACAUGCAAGUCGAACGGCAGCACGGGAGCUUGCUCCUGGUGGCGAGUGGCGAACGGGUGAGUAAUACAUCGGAACGUACCCUGAAGUGGGGGGUAACGUAGCGAAAGUUACGCUAAUACCGCAUAUUCUGUGAGCAGGAAAGAGGGGGAUCGCAAGACCUCUUGCUUUAGGAGCGGCCGAUGUCGGAUUAGCUAGUUGGUGAGGUAAAGGCUCACCAAGGCGACGAUCCGUAGCGGGUCUGAGAGGAUGGUCCGCCACACUGGGACUGAGACACGGCCCAGACUCCUACGGGAGGCAGCAGUGGGGAAUUUUGGACAAUGGGCGCAAGCCUGAUCCAGCCAUGCCGCGUGAGUGAAGAAGGCCUUCGGGUUGUAAAGCUCUUUCGGUGGGGAAGAAAUUGCUUCGGUUAAUACCUGGAGUAGAUGACGGUACCCGCAUAAGAAGCACCGGCUAACUACGUG